rnacentral:rRNA from 1 species
GACGAAGGAUGCAAGCGUUAUCCGGAUUCAUUGGGUUUAAAGGGUGCGUAGGCGGACUGAUAAGUCAGUGGUGAAAUCUCCGGGCUCAACCCGGAACUGCCAUUGAUACUGCAGGUCUAGAGUACAGUUGCCGUUGGCGGAAUAUGACAUGUAGUGGUGAAAUACUUAGAUAUGUCAUAGAACACCGAUUGCGAAGGCAGCUAACGAAGCUGUAACUGACGCUGAGGCUCGAAAAGUGCGGGGAUCAAACAGG